rnacentral:tRNA from 1 species
GGUGUCGCUGGGGAGCGGUUGACCCUCUGGGAUUCCGGUCGGGCCGGGGUUGGUUCCGGUCCAAUUGACGUUC